CCUUGAUACAGAAUUUAAGACUCCCUAAAGCGAUCGAUUCGUAUUGUCCAUCGAUUUAAAGCGGUGUAAAAAUGAGGCAAAAAAGUUGAAUUUAUCCACUUUAUCUAUUUUCAUUUUUAUUGUAACCCCGUCUCAUGAAUAUUAAUGAGUGGCUAAUCCCCAUUUAGAAUUAGGCCUACAUUUCAGAAUAGUGUGCGUAAAGUUUAAUAGGCAGACGGAGAGCAAACGUGAAAGGGAGUGAAGAAAAACUCGACCCUUCCAGAAAAAAACACGAAAUCAGCACACAGAGAGAGUCUGAGCCUCUGAGAAUUACAGAAAGCACCUUUCAAGCCUCACUUUCCCAAAGAAAUGCCAAUAAAAUACGGUAACAGAAUAUCACGGAGGGCGCGGUGUUUCCUUAACUGUUUCUGAAAGGCUCAGAAGAUCUUAAUAAGGCUCGGCUCGGUCCUUUUGUUAAUCUCACAAAAUCAACUCAUUCUAAUUGAGGCCUGAGCUGAAAGCGACCUAAUGUUCAAAGCAAGUGACCGCCGGAGGAACGAAAUUACAUUUUUACUAUAUGGGGCAUCCAAUCAAAGACCAGGCGGCUUUACGCGUUCUUCAAUAGAUCAACAAAGUCAUCGACAAAAGUAGCCUGCUCUUGGAAGUAACAGAGAUGCCGCUGCUAGCCGUCAAUAGACGCGACAAAACUAAAGAGAAAGUUAUUGGAUAGGUCUAGGACUGCUUAGAAGUACGGUGACAGAAUGCGCAUAUAUAUGUUUAUUAAUGUUUAUACUGCCUGUUUAAAAUCACAAGUGUUGGUCCCAGGCCCCCCAGAAAGGCCGAUUCCACCUGUUCUUAAACUAUUUACACGAAUAAUAAUAACAAAAUGUGAUCCUCAAAUCCAUUCAAUAGAAAUAUAUAAAAUUCCUGCGUUUUGUCCGUUUGCUAUUUUUUCUCUUGGCCCUGAUGUUGCUGAGACCCCGUGAUAAAGCCAGAACAAGUAGGCUAUCAAGUUAUCAGGUUGCAAGAAGCUUUUGUAAUAAGAGUAUUUUGUCUAAUCCCAAAUUGCAGCCGAAUUUUCUAAAUGCUGAGCUCGUAAAUCUCGGGAUUAGAGGAGGCGAGAAGAGGAGGGGGAAAAGUUUGGUUUCUUUAGCCGGCAGGAUGGGAGUGGGUCGGCGAUGUUGUCGGUCCUUAUUAAAACGACGAUGCAUAAAAAACGAUAUUGAAGCUCGUACAGAAGGCUCGGUACCGAUUCCACCGGUGUAUUUUCGGACGAGAGAAGGAUUUUCGGCGGUCGAGGGGGUUCGUGAAGUCCUACAGCACAACACCUGAAGUCAGGCCGAGGACUUCAAAGCAGCCGGAUCCACAGAACGCGCUCUGGGACGCGCGCAUCUCUCCUCGCGCUGAGAUGCUCUACUUAUUGCUACACCGUUUUGGAGAGCUCCUUUUUUUUAUAAGAAUAUCUAUUUUAAAAGCUUUUAAAAAUAUUUUUGUUCCCCUCUAAACAUAUACUGUCGGUUUGAGCCUGAAAACAAUGAUCAACGAUCAGCAUUCUCAGCCAAAAAGCCACAGAUCCUCCCCUUCACCUCCGGCAGAGGCCGCAUGCAGCUGUCAAUCAAGCAGGAGUGGCACCGCCCCCCUCAUUAAGAAGGUAAACAAUGAAUAUGGACGCAGAGGGACACGGCAGAGUAAACGAGCGAUUGGAGCACGCCAUAAAAAACUAACGGAAGUUGCUGCUGCCUUCUUCUUCUCUAUUUUCCUCAAAGAAGCGAUGGAUGAAGCCUGUUUAGAGAUGGUGGUGGUGGGGGGGGGGGGGUCAAUCCUUUUUGGAUUACUCCCCUCUUUCUCUCUCUCUCAUUGCCCUGGGCAAUCACGUUAAAACUCACAUGGUUGGUGCUUAUUCAGAUAACCCUAACAAUGCACACCAAUGGUAACCAUGUGAGCACUCACAACCCACAGAAGAAUGCGCUGGUUCCAAUCCCCAUGACCCUCCUCCACAGCAAAAUUUAUUCAAGAGUGCAACCUGCUCAGCAGAGCUUCUUCUGAGAGUUCUGCUGAAAUAUCACUAAACACAAACUUUACAUGCAUGUUCUGCUCGCUUUAGUGUACGGACACAUGAAGCAAACUUUUGGACAGUAUGGAGUUUUUUUUUUUUGUUAGAACUUUUUUCUGAGGAAAUAACAGAAAGUAAGUAGUUGUUGGAGGAAUCCAGGAAAUAAUGCAUGAUCUUAUUACAGCAGAUUUGGGCGAGUACUGGGCAGGCUGGGAGCUCCGGCAUAAGAUGAAGCUGGAUAGAAGCCAGCUGGGAAUGAGACAAAGACCAACAUGGAAAACCAUGACAAGGAGGAUGACGGGACAACAGUCUCUGGAUUCUUACCACGCUAUUCCCAAACCACAUCUCCCAUCUGUUAUAUCUGAUACAAAUAAAGUGACUAUCAAAAAC